rnacentral:rRNA from 1 species
AUGGGGGACGCCUGCGGCCCGCGGAAAUCUGACGCCAACGCCCACGACGACCUGCCUCCGGCGGUGACCCGCAGGCCAUCGACCCCGCGGCGGCACCCCUCGCCGAAUGCCGGUGCACCAGCCACCCCGAGGCGGCACCCCUCGCCAAAUGCUGCCCCCGCGGCUCCAUCCACCCCGAGGCGGCACCCCUCGCCGAAUGCCGCUACGGGGGUGGCUGGGUCGCAGGGGAAGAGGUCCCAGUCCACCGACCGGCGGUCCGGGAGCCCGGCGAGGCCGGCCUCCGGCGGCGGUUCCAGGGCGGCCGCGCCGUCCAGGAUCUCCGCCCAGACGUCGCCGCCCUCCAGCCCCUCCUCCUCCUCCUCCAGCUCCUCCACGCCCGUGCGCGACGCCGUCUCCGACACGCAGAGCGCCCCGAGGAGGCUGUCCGGCGGAGGCGGCAGGGCCCCCGACGGGCUGUGGCCGUCAAUGCGGAGCCUCUCCUCCUCGCUCCAGCUCGAGCCCAGGGACCGGAGGGCCGCGGAUCAGGCCAGGGCGAGGGACGCGUCGGCGGCGGCCGACAGGAAGAGGAGCCCGAUGAGGGGGCGGAGCGGCGGCGGCGAGCCGCCGGAGAACCCGCACGCCAGGGUGAUUGACCACCACCGCUGGCCGGCCAUGAUGGGGGGCAGGGUGUCCGGCAGCGCCAUGUCCAGGAGCGUGGAUCUCACUGACAAGAUGCACAGGCCACGCGGCGGGGCUUCGCCCAAGAGGACGGCGUCGAUUUCAUCCGCCGCAAGCGCCCUGUCAAGAAGCAUUGAUCUCGCCGACAAAAUCGACCGAUUGGUCUCCUCAUCCAGAGGGGAGGAGUCACCUAGAAGAUCCUCUGCUUCAAAUGGCACAGCUGAUACAUCAAAAAGGAGCAUCACUGAUGGUAAAGAUGCCAGACCUGCAGCCAUGGCAGUUCCAUCAAGAGGGAUGAUUUCUCCUGUGAGAACAGCAAGGGCCCUGUCCAAGAGCAUGGAUCUUACUGAAAGAGAUUACAGUAUGCUCUCCUCCGCAGUGUCAAGUCUCUCAGUAUCAAGUGUGUCUAAUGCCACAUCGCAAACCACAAAAUCUUCUGAGAAGCCGAAUGGACGUGCUUCUUCCCCAGCCUUGUCACGGGGACAUUCACCUAGAACAUCAGCAACAUCUGGCGGCAGCAUUGCCGGUAUAUUGAAAAACAUUGAUGCCCCUGAAAAAGAUAAGAGACCAGCUUCAUCUAGAGGGACUUCGCCAAGAAGGCCACUUGCUUCUGAUGGUGUUAAUGCUAUUGUUAAAAAUAUGGAUCUUUCUGAGAAGGAUAGCAGGACAGUCAUCUCCUCGGUUCCAUCUCGAGCGGUAUCUUCCCCAAGGAGAAGACAGGCUUCUGAUGCUAUUGAUGCUAUGCCAAGAAGCUCAGAUUUUCCUGAAAAAGAUAACAGACCAUCCACAUCAUCUUCAUUGCGUGGGGUUUCUCCGCGAAGAAGGCUUGGCUCUGAUGGUUUCAGUGGUAUAUCAAAAGGGGUGGAUUGUGCUGAUAAAGCUAGCACACCAUCCACCUCAUCAGCUGCAUCGCGAGGUGUUGCACCAAGAACUCAAGUGAUAUCUGAUUGUGUUGGUACUACAUCAAAGGGCAAGGAUUCUGCUGAUAAAGAUAAUAGACCAUCAACCUCAUAUGCUACAUCACGAGGUAUGUCACCACGAAGAAGGCUUGCAUCUGAUGGUAUUAGCUCCAUUUCAAGUAGCAUCAACUUCGCUGAAAAGGAUGGAAGAAUUGUGGCCUCUUCAGUUGCACAUCGUGGGAUCUCAACUAUAAGGCGUCUUGCGUCUGAUGGUGUUGAUAUUAUACCAAAGAGUAUGGAUAGUCCUGAGAAAGAUGUCAGACCCUCCACUUCAGACGGUUCAAGAGGUCUUUCGCCAAGAAGAAGACUUGUCUCUGAUGGUGUCAAUGUUAUACCCAAGCGCAUGGAUCUUUCGGAAAAAGAUACCAGACCUGCCACCUUGUCAACUGCAUCACGGGGAGUUUCACCAAGAAGAAGACUCGCCUCUGAUAAUGUAGAAGCAAUGUCAAAGAGCUCAGAUUCUGUUGAAAAAGAAACAAGAUCAUCCGCUUCGUCGGUGGCAUCACGGGGGGUUUCACCAAGAAGAAGACUCGCCUCUGAUAAUGUAGAAGCAACAUCAAAGANCUCAGAUUCUGUUGAAAAAGAAACAAGAUCAUCCACUUCAUCGAUGGCAUCACGAGGGGUUUCACCAAGAAGAAGAAUCGGCUCUGAUAGUGUAGAAGCUAUAUCGAAGAGCUCAGAUUUUGCUGAAAAAGAAACAAGACCAUCCACUUCGUCAGUGGCAUUACGGGGGGUUUCACCAAGAAGAAGACUCGCCUCUGAUAGUGUAGAAGCUAUAUCGAAGAGCUCAGAUUUUGCUGAAAAAGAAACAAGACCAUCCACUUCAUCAGUGGCAUUACGGGGGGUUUCACCAAGAAGAAGACUUGCCUCUUAUAGUGUAGAAGCUAUAUCAAAGAGCUCAGAUUUUGUUGAAAAAGAAACCAGAUCGUCCACUUCGUCAGUGGCAUCACGAGGGGUUUCACCAAGAAGACGACUUGCUUCGGAUGGUCUCAAUACUUUAUCGAAGAGCACUGAUUUAUCUGGUAAAGACUACAGGCCAUCAACCUCAGCAGCUGCAUCACGAGGGACUUCACCCAGAAGCAGGAUUGCCUCUAAUUCCGUUGAUGCCCCGUCAAGAAGCAUGACUUUUGCUGAUAAAGAGAGCAGACCCUCCACCUCAUCAGGAGCAUCACGUGGGACUCUACAGAGAGGCGUGCUUGCUUCUGGUAGCAUUGUGGAUCCUGUGGACAAUGGUAGUGAACGAUCCACCUCAUCGGCUGCAUCUGGUGGGACUUCAGACAGUAGACUUGACAGUACUGAUGCUCAAGUAGAAGCCAUCCAGUUUGCUGAGGAAGUUAAUUCAGUAACUCCAGAUGGCUGUAGUGAUGAUACUUCAGAAAGCAUGUAUUCUGGUAAUGUAGGCACAGAUGCAGCAUCCUUGUCCAUUGCGGUGCAAGAUAGGCAACCAAGCAGAUCUGUUUCUGAUGUCAGUGAGGAUAUGUCACAGAGUGUGGAUGCAACUCAAAAACAUAACAGAGCCAUCUCGGUAAAGGUUCCAUCUCGAGGAACUUCUCCAAGAAGGCGUCUUGCAUCUGAUGGCAUUAAUACUAUGCUCAAAAGCAUGGAUUUUGCUGAGAAAGAUAAGAGACCCAUGACCAUGUCAGUAUCAUCACGUGGAAUGUCACCAAGAAGAACAGCAAGAGUGGACUCUGCUAGUAUAAUGUCAAAAAGCAUGGAUUUUUCUGAUAAGUGUAAUGGACAAAUAUCUUCAAUAAUUCCAUCGCGAGCGGUUUCUACACGAAAAAUACUGGGACCAGAUGGUGCUAAUGCCAUGUCGAGAAGUGUGGAUCUGACUGAUAACUUCAGACAACCAGUCUCUUCAACAGUGCAACCAAGUAGAGUUUCACCAAGGAAGAUGCCUUAUGCGAGCCCAGGUUCUGCCAAUGGAAAUGGAAUUCAAGAGGAAAAUGCCAGUUCAAGUCCAGAUGCACCUUCAAAUAAUUCAGAAAGAUUUGCACCUCCAAAGCAGUUGGCAAGGACACUGUCUUCACCAUCACGUGGUCUACUACGUCCUUCAUCACCAACCAAGGCUUCAUCAACAUCAUCACUUGCCUCUAGGAGGUUGCCGAGCCCAUUGAGGAUUAGACCUUCAACACCUGUCUCACCAUGUAGUUCUGGUAGAUCCGAUUCCCCCUCUUCUCUUCUCAACUACAUUGGUGAUGCAACAAGAGGAAAGAAGAGCCCAAGCCACAUGGAAGAUGCCCAUCAGUUGCGCCUCCUGUAUAAUAGGAACUUGCAAUGGCGUUUUACAAAUGCUUAUGUGGAUGAAAUGCUAUCAAUCCAGAAGAUGGGUGCCGAGACUAUGCUCUACAGUGUAUGGGAUAGUAACUCAAGGAUGUCUGACUCUAUGGUUACGAAAAGGAGUUAUGUUGAAAGGCUGAGGCAAGAGGUCAAAUUGGGAAUAGUGUUGAAACAACAAAUGGACUACCUCGACCACUGGGAAGAGUUGCAAACAGAUCAUUCUACUUCUUUGUCCGGUGCAAUUGAAGCUCUUAGAGCAAGUACAUUGCGCCUUCCAGUUACAGGAGGAGCAAAGGCUGAUGUACUUACUGUUAAGAAUGCUGUCAGUUCAGCAGUUGACAUUAUGCAAGCAAUGGGCUCUUCUGUUUGCAACUUGCUAUCGAAGUUAGAGGCUACACACUCUCUGGUUACAGAACUCUCAGCUGUUGCUGCUAAAGAAAGCACUACCCUUAAUGAGUACAGAGAGCUCUUGGGUACAGCGGCAGCACUGCAGGUCCACGAGUCCAGCCUAAGGACACAACUCAUACAAGAAACAGAGUGA